rnacentral:rRNA from 1 species
GACGAACGCUGGCGGCGUGCUUAACACAUGCAAGUCGAACGGAAAGGCCCUGCUUUUGUGGGGUGCUCGAGUGGCGAACGGGUGAGUAACACGUGAGUAACCUGCCCUUGACUUUGGGAUAACUUCAGGAGACUGGGGCUAAUACCGGAUAGGAGCUCCUGCUGCAUGGUGGGGGUUGGAAAGUUUCGGCGGUUGGGGAUGGACUCGCGGCUUAUCAGCUUGUUGGUGGGGUAGUGGCUUACCAAGGCUUUGACGGGUAGCCGGCCUGAGAGGGUGACCGGCCACAUUGGGACUGAGAUACGGCCCAGACUCCUACGGGAGGCAGCAGUGGGAAAUAUUGCACAAUGGGCGGAAGCCUGAUGCAGCAACGCCGCGUGCGGGAUGACGGCCUUCGGGUUGUAAACCGCUUUCGCCUGUGACGAAGCGUGAGUGACGGUAAUGGGUAAAGAAGCACCGGCUAACUACGUG